UAAGCGGAGGAAAAGAAACCAACAGGGAUUCCCCUAGUAGCGGCGAGCGAACCGGGAAAAGCUCAAAUUUGUAAUCUGGCGUCCUUUGGGCGUCCGAGUUGUAAUCUACAGAGGCGUUUUCCGCGCCGGACCGUGUCCAAGUCUCCUGGAAUGGAGUAUCAAAGAGGGUGACAAUCCCGUGCUUGACAUGACCACCGGUGCUCUGUGAUACGUUCUCGACGAGUCGAGUUGUUUGGGAAUGCAGCUCAAAAUGGGUGGUAAAUUCCAUCUAAAGCUAAAUAUUGGCGAGAGACCGAUAGCGAACAAGUACCGUGAGGGAAAGAUGAAAAGAACUCUGGAAAGAGAGUUAAACAGUAUGUGAAAUUGUUGAAAGGGAAACGAUUGAAGUCAGUCGUGUCUGUUGGACUCAGCCGGUUCUGCCGGUGUACUUCCAACAGACGGGUCAACAUCAGUUUUGAUCGAUGGAGAAAGGCGGGAGGAAGGUGGCACCCUCGGGUGUGUUAUAGCCUCCUGUCACACACAUCGGUCGAGACUGAGGAAUGCAGCUCGCCCGCAAGGGCCGGGAUUCGUCCACGUUCGAGCUUAGGAUGUUGACAUAAUGGCUUUAAACGACCCGUCUUGAAACAC
rnacentral:rRNA from 1 species